rnacentral:rRNA from 1 species
AUGGGGAAACCCAGCAUGAGUUAUGUCAUGUUAUCGAUAUGUGAAUACAUAGCAUAUCAGAAGGCACACCCGGAGAACUGAAACAUCUUAGUACCCGGAGGAAGAGAAAGAAAAUUCGAUUCCCUUAGUAGCGGCGAGCGAAACGGGAAGAGCCCAAACCAACAAGCUUGCUUGUUGGGGUUGUAGGACACUCUAUACGGAGUUACAAAGGACGACAUUAGACGAAUCAUCUGGAAAGAUGAAUCAAAGAAGGUAAUAAUCCUGUAGUCGAAAAUGUUGUCUCUCUUGAGUGGAUCCUGAGUACGACGGAGCACGUGAAAUUCCGUCGGAAUCUGGGAGGACCAUCUCCUAAGGCUAAAUACUCUCUAGUGACCGAUAGUGAACCAGUACCGUGAGGGAAAGGUGAAAAGCACCCCGGAAGGGGAGUGAAAUAGAACCUGAAACCGUGUGCUUACAAGUAGUCAGAGCCCGUUAAUGGGUGAUGGCGUGCCUUUUGUAGAAUGAACCGGCGAGUUACGAUUUGAUGCAAGGUUAAGCAGUAAAUGUGGAGCCGUAGCGAAAGCGAGUCUGAAUAGGGCGUUUAGUAUUUGGU